UACGAAGGGGGCUAGCGUUGUUCGGAAUCACUGGGCGUAAAGCGCACGUAGGCGGAUCCUUAAGUCGGGGGUGAAAUCCUGGAGCUCAACUCCAGAACUGCCUUCGAUACUGAGGAUCUCGAGUCCGGGAGAGGUGAGUGGAACUGCGAGUGUAGAGGUGAAAUUCGUAGAUAUUCGCAAGAACACCAGUGGCGAAGGCGGCUCACUGGCCCGGUACUGACGCUGAGGUGCGAAAGCGUGGGGAGCAAACAGG
rnacentral:rRNA from 1 species